UACGUAGGGGGCAAGCGUUAUCCGGAUUUACUGGGUGUAAAGGGAGCGUAGACGGCGGUGCAAGCCAGAUGUGAAAGCCCCGGGGCUCAACCCCGGGACUGCAUUUGGAACUGUAUGGCUGGAGUACAGGAGAGGUAAGUGGAAUUCCUAGUGUAGCGGUGAAAUGCGUAGAUAUUAGGAGGAACACCAGUGGCGAAGGCGGCCUGCUGGACGAUGACUGACGUUGAGGCUCGGAAAGCGUGGGAGCAAACAGGG
rnacentral:rRNA from 1 species